AAGCGGUGGAGCAUGUGGUUUAAUUCGAUGAUACGCGAGGAACCUUACCAAGGCUUAAAUGUAGAUUGCCCGAUUUGGAAACAGAUUUUUCGCAAGACAAUUUACAAGGUGCUGCAUGGUUGUCGUCAGCUCGUGCCGUGAGGUGUCAGGUUAAGUCCUAUAACGAGCGCAACCCCUGUUGUUAGUUGCCAGCGAGUAGUGUCGGGAACUCUAACAAGACUGCCAGUGUAAACUGUGAGGAAGGUGGGGAUGACGUCAAAUCAUCACGGCCCUUACGCCUUGGGCUACACACGUGCUACAAUGGACGGUACAGAGAGCAGCCACUGGGUGACCAGGAGCGAAUCUACAAAACCGUUCUCAGUUCGGAUCGGAGUCUGCAACUUGACUCCGUGAAGCUGGAAUCGCUAGUAAUCGGAUAUCAGCCAUGAUCCGGUGAAUACGUUCCCGGGCCUUGUACACACCGCCCGUCAAGCCAUGGAAG
rnacentral:rRNA from 1 species